rnacentral:rRNA from 1 species
UGAGGAAUAUUGGUCAAUGGCCGAAGGGCUGAACCAGCCAAGUCGCGUGAGGGAAGACGGCCCUACGGGUUGUAAACCUCUUUUGCCGGGGAGCAAAAGGCGGUCACUGGUGACCGGAUGAGAGUACCCGGAGAAAAAGCAUCGGCUAACUCCGUGCC